GACGAACGCUUUUGGCGUGCUUAACACAUGCAAGUCGAACGGAAAGGCCCUGCUUUUGUGGGGUGCUCGAGUGGCGAACGGGUGAGUAACACGUGAGUAACCUGCCCUUGACUUUGGGAUAACUUCAGGAAACUGGGGCUAAUACCGGAUAGGAGCUCCUGCUGCAUGGUGGGGGUUGGAAAGUUUCGGCGGUUGGGGAUGGACUCGCGGCUUAUCAGCUUGUUGGUGGGGUAGUGGCUUACCAAGGCUUUGACGGGUAGCCGGCCUGAGAGGGUGACCGGCCACAUUGGGACUGAGAUACGGCCCAGACUCCUACGGGAGGCAGCAGUGGGGAAUAUUGCACAAUGGGCGGAAGCCUGAUGCAGCAACGCCGCGUGCGGGAUGACGGCCUUCGGGUUGUAAACCGCUUUCGCCUGUGACGAAGCGUGAGUGACGGUAAUGGGUAAAGAAGCACCGGCUAACUACGUGCCAGCAGCCGCGGUGAUACGUAGGGUGCGAGCGUUGUCCGGAUUUAUUGGGCGUAAAGGGCUCGUAGGUGGUUGAUCGCGUCGGAAGUGUAAUCUUGGGGCUUAACCCUGAGCGUGCUUUCGAUACGGGUUGACUUGAGGAAGGUAGGGGAGAAUGGAAUUCCUGGUGGAGCGGUGGAAUGCGCAGAUAUCAGGAGGAACACCAGUGGCGAAGGCGGUUCUCUGGGCCUUUCCUGACGCUGAGGAGCGAAAGCGUGGGGAGCGAACAGGCUUAGAUACCCUGGUAGUCCACGCUGUAAACGGUAGGUACUAGGUGUGGGGUCCAUUCCACGGGUUCCGUGCCGUAGCUAACGCUUUAAGUACCCCGCCUGGGGAGUACGGCCGCAAGGCUAAAACUCAAAGGAAUUGACGGGGCCCCGCACAAGCGGCGGAGCAUGCGGAUUAAUUCGAUGCAACGCGUAGAACCUUACCUGGGUUUGACAUGGAUCGGGAGUGCUCAGAGAUGGGUGUGCCUCUUUUGGGGUCGGUUCACAGGUGGUGCAUGGCUGUCGUCAGCUCGUGUCGUGAGAUGUUGGGUUAAGUCCCGCAACGAGCGCAACCCUUGUUCACUGUUGCCAGCACGUUAUGGUGGGGACUCAGUGGAGACCGCCGGGGUCAACUCGGAGGAAGGUGGGGAUGACGUCAAGUCAUCAUGCCCCUUAUGUCCAGGGCUUCACGCAUGCUACAAUGGCUGGUACAGAGAGUGGCGAGCCUGUGAGGGUGAGCGAAUCUCGGAAAGCCGGUCUCAGUUCGGAUUGGGGUCUGCAACUCGACCUCAUGAAGUCGGAGUCGCUAGUAAUCGCAGAUCAGCAACGCUGCGGUGAAUACGUUCCCGGGGCUUGUACACACCGCCCGUCAAGUCAUGAAAGUUGGUAACACCCGAAGCCGGUGGCCUAACCGUUGUGGGGGAGCCGUCGAAGGUGGGACUGGUGAUUAGGACUAA
rnacentral:rRNA from 1 species